ACCUGGGACGGCUCAGUCGGCAGAGCAGGAGACCCUUCAUCUCAGAGUCGUGGGGUCAAGCCCCACAUCGGGCA